rnacentral:rRNA from 1 species
GGCUUAGAGUUUGAUCAUGGCUCAGGGUGAACGCUGGCGGCGCACAUAAGACAUGCAAGUCGAACGAACUUAACCGAAAGUUUGCUUUUGGAGCGGUUAGUGGCGGACUGGUGAGUAAUGCAUAAGCAACCUGCCUAUCAGAGGGGAACAACAGUUAGAAAUGACUGCUAAUACCGCAUAUGCCUUGAGUAACACAUGUUACAAGAGGGAAAGGAGCAAUCCGCUGAUAGAUGGGCUUAUGUCUGAUUAGAUAGUUGGUGUGGUAACGGCAUACCAAGUCGACGAUCAGUAGCCGGACUGAGAGGUUGAACGGCCACAUUGGGACUGAGAUACGGCCCAGACUCCUACGGGAGGCAGCAGUCGGGAAUAUUGCGCAAUGGAGGAAACUCUGACGCAGUGACGCCGCGUGCAGGAAGAAGGUUUUCGGAUUGUAAACUGCUUUAGACAGGGAAGAAAAAGGACAGUACCUGUAGAAUAAGCUCCGGCUAACUACGUGCCAGCAGCCGCGGUAAUACGUAGGGAGCGAGCGUUGCCCGGAUUUAUUGGGUGUAAAGGGUGCGUAGACGGGAAGACAAGUUGGUUGUGAAAUCCCUUGGCUCAACUGAGGAAUUGCAACCAAAACUAUCAUUCUUGAGUACUGGAGAGGAAAGUGGAAUUCCUAGUGUAGCGGUGAAAUGCGUAGAUAUUAGGAGGAACACCAGUGGCGAAGGCGACUUUCUGGACAGUAACUGACGUUGAGGCACGAAAGUGUGGGGAGCAAACAGAUUAGAUACCCUGGUAGUCCACACCGUAAACGAUGGAUACUAGG